ensembl:lncRNA
UUAAGGGGUAUUUUUUGGACCUCAGCUCGUUUUGUUAAGUACUUUUUGCUUUAGUUCAAAUCUUACCUUAACACAUUAACCUAACAUUGAACACUACUUUUAUAUUAAGUGCUGUGAAUAGUCAAGUUGUAUAAGUUUGAGCAAACAUUCUACAAUUAAAUGCUAUUUGUUGGUUCAUGAUGUCUCAAGCAUUACAAGCUAAAGUUUACUGCAAAGUGUCACUUUUCCAUUUAGAGAAAUUAAGUUCUGAUACAAACGAAUGCAAAAGGUUGAAGACUCAGGGACACAAAACAGGAAUUGAAACCGCAAAUUCAGUAAAGCCAUUUAUUUUGCAAGCAGCUUUUGAAUAAAGAAUACAAAGGAAACACAUUCCAUUUAUAUCGUCAGUCAAUAACACCAUUCAGCCAACACUCCAGUUAAGCAGAUGUACAAGGACACAGAUCAGUGUGUCAGCCAGUUCAACUUCUGAUGCAGUUUACGUGACCUGGGGGAGAUAAAGAGUGUCAGUAAAAGUCUCUUAAAUCAGCACCUUUAAAUAUUUCUAGAUUUAUCAGAAUCAUCAAUCAGUCAUAACACAUCAGACUGGGGCGAUAAAUGUCAUCAUUAAAAAGUAAAACUAAACUUUCAAAAGCUGAUACAAAAUACAAACCUUUAAAAGUCAACAGAACACCAGCAAUCAAGUGACACUGGGACAACCUGGAUGGACAGUAGCAACACCUAAAGAACAAGGGAGGAGAAAAAAAAAAAAAAAGUACAGACAUGAAGUAUGGAUCAGAGGGGAUAUCAAUCUGUCUUUACUUUUCAGCCUGGGGCAAUCAACUCAUAUCCAUACUUUUUCAAUCAACAUUGUGUAAGUUUCAAACAAAACAAAUCACUGAGGUCAGAGGGUACCAUUCAGUCAGAUAAAUCAGACUGGGGCGGUAACUCAGUCAUCACACCUACUAUUUCACAUGUAACGCAACUUGAAAAUACAAAAUACAUACCAGCUUCAGUACGCUCAAGGGGUAAAGAACUCUGAGGGAAAAUUCACUGCAGUCCUGUAAGGAAACAAAAACAAAUAAUUGAACAUGCUUCAUGUAUGCUAAUGCUACUCCUUAUUAGACUGUUGGUACUCAAGUCAUCCCCUUAUUUCCCAGGCAUUUAGAUGGGAGAGCUACACAUAUGUAAAUGCUGUAAUGUCAGUAGUAAAUUUUUACUAAAGGGGUCAUAUGAUGCGAUUAAGUUUUCCUUUCUCUUUUGAGUUACAAGUUGUUUGUGAAAGGAUAAGAUCCCUAAAGUUGCAAAGAACUAAAGUCUCAAACCCAAAGAGAUAUUCUUUAUAAAAAGUUAAGACUCAUCCACGUCCUCCUAAAACGCCUCGUUUAAACAGUUACUGAGGUCAGAGGGUACCAUUCAGUCAGAUUAAUCAGACUGGGGCGGUAAUUCCAUCAUCACACCUACUAGGAUAGCUCACAUGUCUCUGAAGUUGAAAACACAAAAUACAUACUGUUAUAGUAUGCUCAAGGGGGAAGGACUUCAAGAAUCCACUGUAGUCCUGCAAGGAAUCAAGAGAAACAAGAUUAGGGAACGUAUGUAAAGAAACUUGUCUACACUAAAGCUAGUCCUUCUCAGACUGUUGGUAACCCCAACAAGUCAUCCCCUUGUUACCCAGGCAACACCAGUGGGUUCACCUUUUCAGGUUCUGGUAUUGACACAGGGCAUAAGACAUGUGCAAGUAACAUCAUAAAAGGACCAGCUGCAAUAGGUUUGUCAUUUUGUAUAUUAGGAACAGAAUUCUCACCUGUGAAUGUCUCAUCUCAGAUGUGCCACCUAUAGGUUAAAAAAAAAAAAAAAAUAGGAUGGGAGACCUACACAAAUGCAGAGAUAACACACAUACAGAUGCCAAAUCUGUAACAUCAGUAAUAUUAAUUAAUCAGCAGGACUUCAGACGAACGAGACUGCAAAAAUCAUCAUAGGUUACAGAUGGAAUAGAGUAGCAAGUAGUGCAAGUUAACUACAAAGGGACCAUUUCAAUGAAAUUUGUCAUGAGAAAUGCAUAUUCUUACCUGCGGAGUAUUUCAGGUAUGCAACCUUUUAGGAGAGAAAACCAAUCGGAGUGUCACUUCAGAUACAAAAAGCAUUCAAAAAUCUAGAUGAAUCAUGUACUGUAACUUCAGUAAUAAGAUUUAUCAACAGGAUUUCAGACGAACGAGAUUCCAAAAAGGUAAUCAUCAUCAGUUACAGAGGGAUUGAGUGUAUUACAGAUGGAAGAGCACAGAGAUGCAAAUUAACUACAAAAGGGACCAUUUCAAUGGAAUGGGUCAUGAGAGAUGCAUAUUCCUACCUGCUGAGAGUACUUCAGGUACGCAACCUUUUGGAGAGAAAACCAAUCAGAGUGUCAUUUCAGAUACAAAUAGCAUUUAAAAAAAAAAAAAAAAGUGAAUCAUGUACUGUAACUUCAGUAAUAAAGAUUUAUCAACAGGAUUUCAGACGAACGAGAUUCCAAAAGAUAAUCAUCAUUAGUUACAGAGGGUUAAUCAACACAUGGGAGCAAGUAACCUUACCUAAUACCAGCAAAGGACUUGACCCACUUUGUUUUGGACAAAUAACAGUCCUGUCAAGAAAAUAAGAGGAACAAUGUCAGACACGGGCAUAUGUAAAAUCAGAAUAAUAAACAUCCCAUAAAUCUCUCAGAUGUUCGUAACUUUUCACAUCGGGUCAAAGUGAGCUAAGUAUCUUCAUCACAGAGACAGAGCAAAACACAGCAUUUAAAAAUUAAACUGAAGUACCUUAGGGAGUUGCAGGUUCUUGCUGAAAAAGCCAUUUUGUUCCAACACUACCUUAAAAACAAAAAGACCUUUAAUAUUUAAACUACAGAGAAACAAGACCAUCAGGUUUAUCACCGUCUGAUCAGGGCUCUGGUGACUAUAACGUCAUGGGACAAUAAUGCAGUCCAGAUAUUAACAGUAUAAACCAUUCAAAGAAAAACUCACAUGAACAUCUUUAUAGCCACACCAUCAUCACCAAGACAAAGUGGGAUGAUCUAGAAAAUGACAGGCAUUAUAAGCACAGAAAGCAGCCAACAGUUCAAAAACAAGCACUAUACAGUCUGAUCAUACUUUGGUGACUAGAAUGCCAUACGACAAAUCUGUCGUCCAGAUAAGAUAUGAAAGGAUAAUCAUUUCAGAUAAGUUGAAAAUUAAAUUGUGAACAUGAAGAUACACUUACCAAUACAACAUCUAUGGUCACCAUGCCCUCCAAGAUCACGUGAAGGAGCCCUUAAAUUAGAACAAAACAAUUAAACACCACAAUAAGGAGGUGACUAGACUGGACUCGUCAUCUGGACUAUGUCAGAAUAAAAAAGGCAAACAUCACUGGAAUUCAGACAUAUGCUUGUCUUUGAAAUCAUCAUCUAAAUGUUCAGUCUUAAAAGGAAGGACCUUAACACUUAGAGCUUACCUUAAAUUUAAUAGAUUUCCGCCUGCUCAUCCCAGCAGCCUGCAUGGAAACUGCAAAACAAAUACUUUGUAAGUGCCUGCAUUCACAAACACGACUAGAACAAACAAAAAUGCUUGGUGGCGUGUGCUAGAUGUCCAGUGCUACUCAGUUUAGAACAGUUACAUCAAAGCAAUUCAGGAAGAGAGAAUUCAGAAGUCAUCACAGUAGCACCGGAUAUUGCACUGUUCUAGUUAGUUGAAUUCUUAAUAUCAGGUCCACAAGUGGCACAAACUGACCUCUAAAAAACACCCAAUAAUGCAAAUACAGCACUGUGUACUCCGAAGGAGCUGUGCUUAAAUGUAAUAAUUCUAUCAUUAAAGACAUAAAUGACCAAAAGACAUAAAUAUCAAAUCGACCUCCAUGUAUGCUUCAGGAAAAGCACUAUAAAAUGCACCCUGCUACAGAACUUACCUUCCCAUGAGGCCAUGCUCGUCGCAGUCGCCAUUGCUGCAAAAGAAAAACCUCU